AUUCUACUCCCUCCGUUGCACAAUACAUGCCUUCUAUUUGUCAAAAUAUAUGUAUCUAGACACGUCUUAGUAUAUAGGUACAUCCAUUUUUGGACAAAUGGAAGUCAAGUAUUUUGGAACGGAGGGAGUACACA
rfam:Triticum aestivum genome assembly, contig: Triticum_aestivum_CS42_TGACv1_scaffold_000865_1AL